rnacentral:piRNA from 1 species
UCCAAUCUCGCGGGACCUAAGACUGC